UAGUAUGUGUAAUGUUACGCAUUUUAGAUGCAGUUUAGAUAAGCUACACUUUUCUUCAGUUCCCGAGAUUCUUCGAAGACAAUCUGUACAUACCACAUUCUCAUUCAAACCACAAAUCUGUGAAUAGAACUGCUGUUGCCUCUUUCAAGCGGUUCACCCUAGUGCAUUUUCAAUUGACACUGGAUUUCAUGAACUGCAGUCUGUCACUCACCUCCAACUUGACGUUCUACUUGGUUCCUAUUUCAUGUAUACACUCAUUCUGCAGAUGUCCUGCGAGUGUAGUUUUCAGAGUAUGCUCUAGUUUUAUGUAUACAUAGUUCGGAGAAAGCUUAGACAUGUACAAAGGGACAUAUGAAUGAGGAAUCUACAGUGUUACAAAUGUGCUAUGGUAGAACGUACCAAUGCACUUGGUGUUCACUAAUAGUUGAUUUUGUGAUUUGUUAAAAGUCGAUAUACAUUUACAUACAGAAAACACUGUGCUUGUAGGAGCACUUGGAUUUAAAAAGACCCAACAUUGAACUCAAGAAUGACGAAGGGUUCAAAUAACUCAGCAAAUACCUUGAGUGGCUCCUGACCACCUUGCAUAUCAGUUUCAUUCAGGUCUGAAUAUUGGUUAUAAUCCUUUGUAUUACCUACGGCUUGAUUUGUAGGCAUAUUCUUCCAGAGACCUGACAGUCAAGAAGGUAUUAACAAUAAUCCUGAUUCCAAGCAUGUAUAACAACACCCAAUCUUAUCAGUCAUAAU
rnacentral:lncRNA from 1 species